rnacentral:rRNA from 1 species
GUAGGUGGUUUAAUAAGUCAACUGUUAAAUCUUGAGGCUCAACUUCAAAAUCGCAGUCGAAACUAUUAGACUCGAGUAUAGUAGAGGUAAAGGGAAUUUCCAGUGGAGCGGUGAAAUGCGUAGAUAUUGGAAAGAACACCGAUGGCGAAGGCACUUUACUGGGCUAUUACUAACACUCAGAGACGAAAGCUAGGGUAGCAAAUGGGAUUAGAUACCCCAGUAGUCCUAGCUGUAAACGAUGGAUACUAGCUGUUGGGAGCAAUCUCAGUGGCUAAGCGAAAGUGAUAAGUAUCCCACCUGGGGAGUACGUUCGCAAGAAUGAAACUCAAAGGAAUUGACGGGGGCCCGCACAAGCGGUGGAGCAUGUGGUUUAAUUCGAUGAUACGCGAGGAACCUUACCAAGGCUUAAAUGUAGUUUGACCGUUUUGGAAACAGAACUUUCGCAAGACAAAUUACAAGGUGCUGCAUGGUUGUCGUCAGCUCGUGCCGUGAGGUGUCAGGUUAAGUCCUAUAACGAGCGCAACCCCUGUUGUUAGUUGCCAGCGAGUCAUGUCGGGAACUCUAACAAGACUGCCAGUGCGAACUGUGAGGAAGGUGGGGAUGACGUCAAAUCAUCACGGCCCUUACGCCUUGGGCUACACACGUGCUACAAUGGACGGUACAGAGAGCAGCCACUGGGUGACCAGGAGCGAAUCUACAAAACCGUUCUCAGUUCGGAUCGGAGUCUGCAACUCGACUCCGUGAACGCUGGAAUCGC